AGGACUAACGCUGGCGGCGUGCCUAACACAUGCAAGUCGAACGAGGUAGCAAUACCUAGUGGCAGACGGGUGAGUAACGCGUGGUCAACCUACCUCUUAGUGGGGGAUAACUAGCCGAAAGGUUAGCUAAUACCGCAUACGAUCGUCGCGAGGCAUCUCGUGACGAUGAAAGGAGCAAUUCGCUAAGAGAGGGGACUGCGUCCCAUUAGUUAGUUGGUGGGGUAAUGGCCCACCAAGACUCCGAUGGGUAGCUGGCUUGAGAGAGCGACCAGCCACACUGGAACUGAGACACGGUCCAGACUCCUACGGAGGCAGCAGUGAGGAAUUUUCCGCAAUGGGCGCAAGCCUGACGGAGCGACGCCGCGUGUGGGAAGAAGGCCUUCGGGUCGUAACCACUGUCGAAGGGAAGAUAUUGACGGUACCCUUGGAGGAAGCCCCGGCUAACUACGUGCCAGCAGCCGC
rnacentral:rRNA from 1 species